rnacentral:rRNA from 1 species
UACGUAGGGGGCGAGCGUUGUCCGGAAUCAUUGGGCGUAAAGAGCGCGUAGGCGGCACGGUACGACCGGUGUGAAAGCCCCCGGCUCAACUGGGGAGGGUCACCGGUAACGGCCGAGCUAUGAGUGCAGGAGAGGGAAGUGGAACUCCGGGAGUAGCGGUGAAAUGCGUAGAGACCCGGAGGAACACCAGUGGCGAAGGCGACCACCUGGACUGAUACUGACACUGAGGUGCGAAAGCGUGGGGAGCAAACAGG